rnacentral:rRNA from 1 species
GAUGAACGCUGGCGGCGUGCCUAAUACAUGCAAGUCGAGCGAACAGAUAAGGAGCUUGCUCCUUUGACGUUAGCGGCGAACGGGUGAGUAACACGUGGGUAACCUACCUAUAAGACUGGGAUAACUUCGGGAAACCGGAGCUAAUACCGGAUAACAUUUGGAACCGCAUGGUUCUAAAGUGAAAGAUGGUUUUGCUAUCACUUAUAGAUGGACCCGCGCCGUAUUAGCUAGUUGGUAAGGUAACGGCUUACCAAGGCGACGAUACGUAGCCGACCUGAGAGGGUGAUCGGCCACACUGGAACUGAGACACGGUCCAGACUCCUACGGGAGGCAGCAGUAGGGAAUCUUCCGCAAUGGGCGAAAGCCUGACGGAGCAACGCCGCGUGAGUGAUGAAGGGUUUCGGCUCGUAAAACUCUGUUAUUAGGGAAGAACAAACGUGUAAGUAACUGUGCACGUCUUGACGGUACCUAAUCAGAAAGCCACGGCUAACUACGUG